rnacentral:rRNA from 1 species
CAGAGGGGGGUGGAAUUCCACGUGUAGCAGUGAAAUGCGUAGAGAUGUGGAGGAACACCAAUGGCGAAGGCAGCCCCCUGGGUCGAUACUGACGCUCAUGCACGAAAGCGUGGGUAGCAAACAGGAUUAGAUACCCUGGUAGUCCACGCCCUAAACGAUGUCAACUAGGUGUUGGGAGGGUAAAACCUUUUAGUGCCGUAGCUAAC